rnacentral:rRNA from 1 species
UUAGAGGAAGUAAAAGUCGUAACAAGGUUUCCGUAGGUGAACCUGCGGAAGGAUCAUUACCGAACUGUCAACAGGAGUUGUCGCUGGUCCCUCAUGGGGCAUGUGCACACCCUGUUUACACAUCCACUCACACCUGUGCACACCUCUGUAGUUCUGUGGCCUGGGGGGCUCCGUCCUCCUGCUGCGGUUCUAUGUAUUUACACACGCACCGUAAUGAAGUCUAAUGGAAUGUAUGUCGCGUUUAACGCAAUCAAAUACAACUUUCAGCAACGGAUCUCUUGGCUCUCGCAUCGAUGAAGAACGCAGCGAAAUGCGAUAAGUAAUGUGAAUUGCAGAAUUCAGUGAAUCAUCGAAUCUUUGAACGCACCUUGCGCCCUUUGGCAUUCCGAAGGGCAUGCCUGUUUGAGCAUCAUGAACAUCCUCAACUCUCAUGGCUUGCCGUGAUGAGCUUGGACUUUGGGGGUUUGCUGGCCCAUGGCCAGCUCCUCUCAAAUGAAUCAGCUUGCCAGUGUUCGGUGGGACCAUGGGUGUGAUAAGUAUCUGCGCUUGUGGUUUUCCACUGGGUAACCUUCGGCGAUGGAGGUUCGCUGGGGCUCAUAAAUGCCUCUCUUCGGUGAGGGCAGCUUUUGACGUUUGAUCUCAAAUCAGGUAGGACUACCCGCUGAACUUAAGCAUAUCAAUAAGCGGA